rnacentral:rRNA from 1 species
GACGUAGGGUGCGAGCGUUGUCCGGAUUUAUUGGGCGUAAAGAGCUCGUAGGCGGCUUGUCGCGUCGACCGUGAAAACUUGGGGCUCAACCCCAAGCCUGCGGUCGAUACGGGCAGGCUAGAGUUCGGUAGGGGAGACUGGAAUUCCUGGUGUAGCGGUGAAAUGCGCAGAUAUCAGGAGGAACACCGGUGGCGAAGGCGGGUCUCUAGGCCGAUACUGACGCUGAGGAGCGAAAGCGUGGGGAGCGAACAGG